UACGAGGGGGGCAAGCGUUGUUCGGAAUUAUUGGGCGUAAAGGGCGCGUAGGCGGUGCGGUAAGUCACCUGUGAAACCUCUGGGCUUAACUCAGAGCCUGCAGGCGAAACUGCCGUGCUGGAGUGUGGGAGAGGUGCGUGGAAUUCCCGGUGUAGCGGUGAAAUGCGUAGAUAUCGGGAGGAAUACCUGUGGCGAAAGCGGCGCACUGGACCACAACUGACGCUGAGGCGCGAAAGCUAGGGGAGCAAACAGGAUUAGAUACCCUGGUAGUCCUAGCCCUAAACGAUGAUUGCUUGGUGUGUCGGGUACCCAAUCCCGACGUGCCGAAGCUAACGCGAUAAGCAAUCCGCCUGGGGAGUACGGUCGCAAGGCUGAAACUCAAAG
rnacentral:rRNA from 1 species